CGCGCCGCCUGCACGACUGGACUGGAGGGGCCGGGUGCCCUGGAGGCCCCUGGGAAUUGCAGUCCUUGCGCAGGCGGAGACCGAGCCCUUAUGAGAAAACUCAAGACUCAGAAACAAUAAAGGUUACAGAGAUGAAAUUGACAGAGGCUGUAUUUCAAUAUGUCAAACUUCACUGUGCCAUUAUACUUUUAAAUCCUACAGAAUAGAUUGAAUCUACUUUUACAUGAAAGAAGACAAUGGGUCCUAUGACUUACUGUCAAUUCCCUUUUCCUGAUUUAAUUAGCUGCUUCUGUAUCUAAUUUUGCUAGGAAUGGAGGAAUAAGACAAAUUCCCUAAACUACAUAUUGACAUUUGUACUAAUAUGAAAACCUCAAGUCCAUUUGCAGACUUUUGGAUUAGAUUCUGUCCCAGAAAGACAUCCACCCUAGAGUUCAGGAUAUCAUACCCAUUUUACUGUUCCCCUGGCACAGUUCAUAGUAAGGAAAAAAAGACAAGGGGAAAGCUAUUAGAUUCUCGGUGCUGCCAAACAGGACACACAAGGACACCAUUUUGUGAUGAUGAUGGUGCUUUAUGCAGCUUCCACCAUUUACAAGAUUUUCCUGUGGUGUGGAACCUCUGAUGAUAAAGCAAAGGAACUAGAAGCUUAUUCCAGUCAAGAUUUCUGAUUUAUCUCGUGGGUUACGAUUCUGUAUGGUUUCUUUGGUGCUGCAUUAGACCUGAGCUCUGAUUGAAAAUUCUUCCACGCUCACUACAUUCCAAAACUUUAUCUCCAAUAUGAAUUUCCAGAUGCCUCACAAGGUCUGAGCUCCAUCUGAAGGCUUUUCCGUGCUUGUCACAUUCAUAGGGCUUUUCUCCACUAUGAAUUCUAUGAUGUCAAAUAAGGUGUGAGCUCUGAUUACAA